rnacentral:lncRNA from 1 species
AGGAGUUUUGCAUUCUCUGCUCAUCCUUACUUUUCUGAAUGCUUUGGGUGAGUUUUAAGGAACCAUAGAAUUGCAGACCGAUGCACUUUGCCUUAAAGUACAUACUGCUGGAGCAAGAGAGACCAAUUAUCCUACUGGGUGCUGGCUGCUGAGACUGGCUGACCAGAUCGAGUGGGAAUCAUCCAUGAAAGGUCCUCCCACCUCCCUACUCAGUCCACUUCACGAGCCCUUGGAUGCAUCUGCCUUUGGCUUUCCAUGGCAGUGCUGCUGCUGCUGC